CGACCGGCGCACGGGUGCGUAACGCGUAUACAAUCUACCUUAUAGAGGGGGAUAGCCCAGAGAAAUUUGGAUUAAUACCCCAUAGUAUUAUAGAAUAGCAUUAUUUUAUGAUUAAACAUUUAUGGCUAUAAGAUGAGUAUGCGUUCUAUUAGCUAGAUGGUAAGGUAACGGCUUACCAUGGCUACGAUAGAUAGGGGUCCUGAGAGGGAGAUCCCCCACACUGGUACUGAGACACGGACCAGACUCCUACGGGAGGCAGCAGUGAGGAAUAUUGGACAAUGGGCGAGAGCCUGAUCCAGCCAUGCCGCGUGCAGGAAGACGGCCCUAUGGGUUGUAAACUGCUUUUAUACAGGAAGAAACACUCCCUCGUGAGGGAGCUUGACGGUACUGUAGGAAUAAGGAUCGGCUAACUCCGUGCCAGCAGCCGCGGUAAUACGGAGGAUCCAAGCGUUAUCCGGAAUCAUUGGGUUUAAAGGGUCCGUAGGCGGGACAAUAAGUCAGCGGUGAAAGUCUGUGGCUCAACCAUAGAAUUGCCAUUGAUACUGUUGUUCUUGAGUGUUUAUGAAGUGGUUAGAAUAUGUAGUGUAGCGGUGAAAUGCUUAGAUAUUACAUGGAAUACCGAUUGCGAAGGCAGAUCACUAAUAAAAUACUGACGCUGAUGGACGAAAGCGUAGGUAGCGAACAGGAUUAGAUACCCUGGUAGUCUACGCCGUAAACGAUGGUUACUAGCUGUUCGGAAGCAAUUCUGAGUGGCUAAGCGAAAGUGAUAAGUAACCCACCUGGGGAGUACGUUCGCAAGAAUGAAACUCAAAGGAAUUGACGGGGGCCCGCACAAGCGGUGGAGCAUGUGGUUUAAUUCGAUGAUACGCGAGGACCUUACCAGGGCUUAAAUGUAGCUUGACCGAUUUGG
rnacentral:rRNA from 1 species